rnacentral:rRNA from 1 species
AACGAACGCUGGCGGCGUGCCUAACACAUGCAAGUCGAACGUGAAAGUACUUCGGUAUGAGUAAAGUGGCGCACGGGUGAGUAACACGUAGGUGACCUGCCUUUUAAUGGGGAAUAACCAGAUGAAAAUUUGGCUAAUGCCGCAUACGAAGCACAAAUAUAAUAGUAGUGCUUGAAAGAAUGCCUCUGUAUAUGCAUUCGUUAAAAGAUGGGCCUGCGGAACAUUAGCUAGUUGGUGGGGUAAAGGCAUACCAAGGCAACGAUGUUUAUCCGGUCUGAGAGGAUGAUCGGACACACUGGAACUAGGACACGGUCAAGAAUCCUACGGGAGGCAGCAGUGGGGAAUAUUGCGCAAUGGGGGAAACCCUGACGCAGCACCGCCGCGUGAGUGAGGAAGGACUUCGGUCUGUAAAGCUCUGUUAAUGAGGAAAAAUGGUAGUUGGUCUAAUAGGCCGAUUAUUUGAUGGUGCUCAUAGAGGAAGCACCGGCUAACUUCGUGCCAGCAGCCGCCGUAA